ensembl:snRNA Gm24611 U6 spliceosomal RNA
CUGCUGACUUUGGCAGCACAUAUUCCAAAAUUGGAACGAUACAGAGAAGAUUGGCAUGGCCCCUGUGCAAGGACAGCACGCAAAUACAUGAAGCGUUCCAUAUUUUU